GCACAACUAACGUGCUGUUUCCCAUUUAACAACAGAAAUAAAUUAUGCUCAACUGGGACCACUGGCUGAUGUGAUUUAUUUGGACAAAACACAACGCAAGGAGAGUACGAUUUACAUCUGUCAGAACCUUGAUUUAAUAUCACAUCCAGAACGUACAAGUCAUGAGCAGAAACUACAUGUCCAAGUAUGAUGAGAUGCAUAGGGAGACUACCUUAUGUCCAACAACCACAAGUGGAAAGCUUGCUUCCAGAGUUAAAUUAAUGAAACUCUGACACCGCUGGCCAGCGCGACGCCUAUCGCAAGACGACUGCAACUUUGUAAUGUACAAGAAGGACAACAAGAUGAUAUGGCAGACCAAGUGCCCGGCGUCUGGUGGCUGUGUAAUGAUGUGCCGCAUGUGGCUGUGUAAUGAUGGCACCAUGGUGGUGGAGAGGAGGUGUGGUCCUCUGCUCAGUCUAAGGGAUUCAAGCAGUGAGCAGAGCACCUGCAUCUCUACCGGGGAUAAGUUCAUGUUGAUAAUACCCACACUUUCCAUCUGUGUUGUAUGACUGUCUUCCUUGACCUAUGUUCAAUAAAGAGCAUGGUAAAAAUAAAA